UUGUUUGAAAGAUGGCUUUGGCUAUCACUCUGGGAUGGACCUGCGGUGCAUUAGCUAGUUGGUAAGGUAACGGCUUACCAAGGCGAUGAUGCAUAGCCGAGUUGAGAGACUGAUCGGCCACAAUGGAACUGAGACACGGUCCAUACUCCUACGGGAGGCAGCAGUAGGGAAUCUUCCACAAUGGGCGCAAGCCUGAUGGAGCAACACCGCGUGAGUGAAGAAGGGUUUCGGCUCGUAAAGCUCUGUUGUUGGAGAAGAACGUGCGUGAGAGUAACUGUUCACGCAGUGACGGUAUCCAACCAGAAAGUCACGGCUAACUACGUGCCAGCAGCCGCGGUAAUACGUAGGUGGCAAGCGUUAUCCGGAUUUAUUGGGCGUAAAGCGAGCGCAGGCGGUUGCUUAGGUCUGAUGUGAAAGCCUUCGGCUUAACCGAAGAAGUGC
rnacentral:rRNA from 2 species